GACGAACGCUGGCGGCGUGCUUAACACAUGCAAGUCGAACGGUAAGGCCCUUCGGGGUACACGAGUGGCGAACGGGUGAGUAUCACGUGGGUGAUCUGCCCUGCACUUCGGGAUAAGCCUGGGAAACUGGGUCUAAUACCGGAUAGGACCACUGCCUGCAUGGGUGGUGGUGGAAAGCUUUUGCGGUGUGGGAUGGGCCCGCGGCCUAUCAGCUUGUUGGUGGGGUGAUGCCUACCAAGGCGACGACGGGUAGCCGGCCUGAGAGGGUGACCGGCCACACUGGGACUGAGAUACGGCCCAGACUCCUACGGGAGGCAGCAGUGGGAAUAUUGCACAAUGGGCGCAAGCCUGAUGCAGCGACGCCGCGUGAGGGGUGACGGCCUUCGGGUUGUAAACCUCUUUCAGCACCGACGAAGCGCAAGUGACGGUAGGUGCAGAAGAAGGACCGGCCAACUACGUGCCAGCAGCCGCCGUAA
rnacentral:rRNA from 1 species